UUUCUGCAACAGAAAAUUAACAUCCAGUGUCUAGCAACAUACCAACUGUCAAAUGGAUGAGAACAAUCCUCAUGACAGAGUAAGUACAAGAUUUAAGACAAUAAUUACACAUACAGAUGUACGGGGAGUUAGGGAUAGGUCAUCUGAGAGCUCCUUCCUUUUAUUUAAACUGUGUUUUGCAUUUCCUGUUCUAUAUUUUUAAUGUCUGACAUUUCUAGAACAAUAUGUUGUCUUCUUAUUUUCAGCUGCUUCCAUCUCCAAAGAAGCUGAAGUUGGCUUAAAGCACCUGGGUAUAGAGGAAUCAAAAAAUCUUGGUGGACGUCUUUGCUCCAGACCAAACCAGCCAAUCUAUUGCUGUAAUAACAUCUCACAUACAGAUUUCAAGCUUGGGCCAUAAUCCUUCUCAUUCAGUGUGUAGUCAGAGAAAAAGAAGACGAGAAAAUCAAAACCUCUCCAUGUGAUAUAAGACUCAUUUGAGUUUUCAUGCGUUAUUAGAAUGCCACU